rnacentral:lncRNA from 1 species
GAUCAGAUGAAUAAUAAAUGUGAAGCCCAACAGGAGCAAGAGGGGCAUACCUAUGUCUUCUGCACCUGUCAAAGGGGAACACUGCCAGCAGCAUUCCGUGGGGUGGCUCUAAGGACUAAACGAGGUCAUGGAUGGAAGUCUUCCUGUUACCAGAUACAAGCAACUCUAUUGCUGGCGUUGGCUCUCCUCUCAGCCUGGAAGACGUCACCAGGCCUCCCACUCC